rnacentral:rRNA from 1 species
UACGGGGGGGGCAAGCGUUGUUCGGAAUUACUGGGCGUAAAGGGCUCGUAGGCGGCCAACUAAGUCGGAUGUGAAAUCCCCAGGCUCAACCUGGGAACUGCAUCCGAUACUGGAUGGCUUGAAUUCGGGAGAGGGAUGCAGAAUUCCGGGUGUAGCGGUGGAAUGCGUAGAGAUCCGGAGGAAGACCGGUGGCGAAGGCGGUCUGCUGGGCAGUUUCUGACACUGAGGCGCGACAGCGUGGGGAGCAAACAGG